rnacentral:rRNA from 1 species
UACGUAGGGGGCGAGCGUUGUCCGGAUUUAUUGGGCGUAAAGCGCACGUAGGCGGCUUCUUAAGUCAGGGGUGAAAUCCUGGAGCUCAACUCCAGAACUGCCCUUGAUACUGAGAGGCUCGAGUCCGGGAGAGGUGAGUGGAACUGCGAGUGUAGAGGUGAAAUUCGUAGAUAUUCGCAAGAACACCAGUGGCGAAGGCGGCUCACUGGCCCGGUACUGACGCUGAGGUGCGAAAGCGUGGGGAGCAAACAGGG